rfam:Triticum aestivum genome assembly, contig: Triticum_aestivum_CS42_TGACv1_scaffold_576745_7BL
UAUGUACUCCCUCCGUCCGGAAAUACUUGUCAUUAAAAAUGGAUAAAAGGAGAUGUAUCUAGAUGUAUUUUAGUUCUAGAUACAUCACUUUUUAUUAAUUUUGACGACAAGUAUUUUUGGACGGAGGGAGUACAUA